AUCCAGAUGACGAGUCCCAAAUAGGACGAAAUGAGCAUCCUACUGCAU
rnacentral:hammerhead_ribozyme from 1 species